rnacentral:lncRNA from 1 species
AGUCUGAGUGUGUGCAUCCGUAUGCGUCGCCUGCCUCAGCCUGCCCGGGUCCUGAACAUGUAGCUGAGAGGUGCAGGACAGUCAGAGGGCCAAAACUUCCCCUGCCAGGCUGAGGCUGGGCCCUCCCGAGCUCACCUGUCCGCGUUCAGGUAACUGGCUAAGUGCCCGCCCGGCCGCGUUCCAGGACACCUGGCCGGGACAGAGCGAAUGCCAGUGAAUCCCAGGGCGCCCUCUCCCGCGCGUUGGUUCUCUAGCCCUCCUUCCCUGGGAGGGGUGGGAUUGGGAGUGUUCUGUUUUCAUUACUGCACCCCUUCCCCUAAAGACAACGGGACUGCCCUCCUCCACAGCGCCUUACCUCAAACAGGGGACCGAUCUUGUUCUUCUCCAGAUAGUGCCUCUUAUGCUUAUGCUGCAAUUAAGCAACUUGUGGAAGAGGCUUAUGUGGUGACAUUAGGAAAAAAGUUAAACAGCUUUAUAAGACAUGAUGAAAGCAGCCAUCCCCUAGUUCCUUCUUCACCCUGAUCUGUGAUCUCCAGAGGAAAUGAUGUUCAACUCAUUUUUUUCUGGUUGGACACCUAAUUUGCACAUCAGGACUGCCAUGGACCAUGGUGCAAUGAAGGUGAAGACUGGAGCACUCAUCACCCACGGGUCUCACUUUGUUGCCCAGGCUGGAGUAUAGUGCCCUGAUCACAGCUUGCUGCAACCUCAAGCUCCCAUGCUCAAGCAAGCUUCCUGCCUCAACUUCCCAAGUAGCUGAGACCACAGGCAUGCUCCAUGACACCUGAACUCCUGAACUCAAGCGAUCCUCCUGCCUCAGCCUUCCAAAGUGCUGGGAUUACAGGCAUGAGCCCCUGAACCCUGCCUACCCUCUGUUUCUAUGUGGUGUUUGUCUUUCUAAGCCUGGCCUAUUUCGUGUAACAUAAUUUCCUCCAGAUUUAUCCAUAUUGUCUCAAAUGACCAGAUUUCUUUCUUUUUUAAGGCUGAAUAGUAUUCCAUUGUACAUAUAUACUACAUUUUAUUUAUCCAUUCAUCUGUUGAUGGACACUUAGGUUGAUUCCAUAUCUUGGCUAUUGUGAAUAAGCUGCAAUGAACAUAGGAGUGCAGAUACUGCUUUGACAUAUUCAUUUCAUUUUCUUUGGAUAUGUAUCCAGAAGUGGAAUUGGGCUGGAAUAUAGGCAGUUCUAUUUUUAAUAUUUUGAGGAAACUCCAUAUUACUUUCCAUAAUAGCUGUGCUAAUUUACAUUCCCACCGCCAAUGUAUAAGGGCUUCCUUUUCUCCACAUCCUCUCCAACACUGGUUAUCUCUUGUCUUUUUGAUAUGUUUUCUCUUCUCUGUAAAGCUAUUGGUUGUAGCAUUUUACUUUUUCCAAAUUUUUUUAAUCAAACUUUUGAAAUGUAUAGCUGAAAUGAAAGAAUUUUAGCAUGAAUGCUAAUAUACACUCAGCACCUAUAUUCUUGCUUUUUCAUGUAUUUACUCCUGAAUUAAUAUAUUACUUGUUAUAUGCUUUUGAAAGUAAACUGCAAACAAGUGCAUGCUUCUCCUAGAUCUUUCCACAUGCUCUGCCAUUAAUUAGAGUUCAAUGUUCAAUUUUUUCCUUUUGAUGUACAAUUAAUACACAAUUAAUUUACACACACAUUUUACUUAGUUCUGAAAAAUGUAUAUACUUUUAUAACUCAAAGCCCAUCAUUAUACAACAUUACUAUCACCCUAGCAAAAUCUUUUGUGUCCCUUCUCAAUCACCAAUCCUGACCACACCCCAAGAAAACUACUGUUCAAAUUUUUCUCCAUCAUUGAUUGGCUUUGUCUGUUUUAGAACUUCAUAAAACUAAAAUACUGUAGUAAAUUAUGUACAAUUUUAUGACUAGCUUCCUUUGCUCAAUAUAAUGUUUUCGAGAUUUAUUCAUAUUGCUGCAUGUCAGUAGUUGGUUCUUUUUAUUGCUGCAUAUUUCAUUGAAUAAAAAUGCCAAAGCUUGUUUAUUCAUUCUUGUCUCACAUCAAAGUAUCUGGGGGAUGUUUUCCACUUUUGGCUAUUAGAAAUGAAACAGAUUUGAAUAUUGUCGUACAGGCUUUUUAUGCAUAUAUAUGCCUUCUUUGAGUAAAUACCCAGAAAUUAUGUUACUGGAUCAUAGGUUAAUAUAUGUUUAGUUUUAGAAGAAAAUGCUACCUCUUUUUUCCAAAAUAUUGUCCCAUUUUACACUCCCAGCAGUAAUGUAUGAGAUUUCCAGUUGCUGCACAUCCUUACCAAAAAUUAGCUUUUCUAAUUUUAGUCAUUGUAAGGGGUGUGUAGUGGUGGCUCUAUGUAGUUCUAAUUUGCAUUUCUCUAAUGACUAACGAUGUUAAACAUAUUUUUAUGUACUUGUUUCAUGUACUUGUUGAUAUGUCUAUUCAAUUCCUUUCACCAUUUUUAUGGAGCUGUUUUUUUAUUAUUGAGUUGUAGGAUUUCUUUAUAUAUGCUGCAUACCAGGCCUUUGUUAUAUACAUGCUUUGCAAUGUACAUUGUCUUAAAAUCUGUGGCUUGCCUGUUCAAUUCAUUAGUGGUGUUUUGUUAAGCAGUUUUUAAUUUUGAUGAAGUGUAACUUAUUCAUUUUUUAUUAUGGUUAUUGCUUUAUGUUUCAGGUCCCAAAUUUUGCCUUCUCACAAAUCACAAACAUUAUCCUAUGUUUUCCUUCAAAAAUUAUAUGGUUUUAUGUAUUUUCAAUCUCAAAAUAUUCUCUAAUUUUUUUGCUGAUUUAUUUACUAAAGAAAUUUGAGGGAUUUGCUAUAAUGUUAGGGAUUUUUCUAGAUGCCACAUUGUUAUUGAUUUCUAAUUUAAUUAUAUUAUGCUCAGAAAACAUAUUCUGUAUGCUUUCAACACUUUUAAAUUUAUUGAGACUUGUUGGAGGGUCCAGCAUAUAAUCUAUCUCAGUGAACACACUGUAUUUACUUGAAAAGAUGUAUAUUCUGCAGUUAUUCAGUGUAGUGUUCUAUAAAAUCAUUUAGGUCAAGGUGGUUGAUAGUUUGUUCAAAUCCAUCUACGUCUUCAUUAAUUUUAUUUAUCUGGCUCUAUCAAUUGCUAAAAGAAUGUUGUUAAAAAUUGUCAACUAUGAUUUUAGAAUCAUUUAUUUCUCCCUUUGAUUAAUGAAUGUUGUUUCAUGAAUUUUGAAGCUAUUCAGAGACAAAAAAAAACUAUUUAUGAAUAUUGUCUUCCUAAAUGAACUGAUGAUUCUUUUG